GCAGCCAGACUGUUCCUGAGGAACAAUGGCGUUACACCCUCCCCCCUGUGCUACUGCUAUAGUGAACAACAGAAUGGGUUUAGGCCUGAUGGACUACCGAGAGAAGACACGAGGGACCCGAUUCAGAUUAAGGAAAAAUGAACGUGGUACCUUCAGGCGUUUGGAAAAUGCUCCCAAGGAUGAACCAGAUUUGUGGAGGUCUACAACUUUUUUCUGAGAUCUUGGCUAAUUUCUUUUGAUUUUCCCAUGAUGUCAAGCAAAGAGGCACUGAGUUUGAAGAUGCGCUCAUAAUUUCUCUGCUCAUGGCAGUCAGAAGGCCGUUUAAACAGAGGGAGGAGCUGAGGGAGAUGGGCGUCGCGUCGCGAAAACAACAUAAAUACCUCCUUUGCGCUUGCAUGACGAAGGACUCUUACGUCACUGAUGCUGCUGGUUCAGCCGACUUCGGUCGAGGAAAAGGAAAGAAGAACAGCGGCGAAUAGAAAAGGAACAAUCUGGUGCCGUCAAAUAAUUAUGUAUGUAUUUCAACUGCAAUUGUUCGGAUGCAAAAGAAAGAAUAAACCCCAAGCAUUGUUAAUAAAUAAAGGAAUGAUUCAACAUC